CCUGGUGGCUCAGUCAGUAAAGAAUCUGCCUGCAGUGCAGGAGACCCAGGUUCGAUCCCUGGGUCAGGA
rnacentral:tRNA from 1 species